rnacentral:lncRNA from 1 species
CGAACCCACACCUCGUGGCGCCUCUAGCGGAAAGCCGCCAUUGCGACUAGGGAAAAAAAAGUGGAAAACAAAAAAGGACGGCAAGGCAGCUUUCCUUUUUCCCCUGGUGGCCGUUUUGUGCAACAGCCUAAAUUUUCUACUCUUGCAAAAUGCAGAAGUUGCACCCACACAGCGAAACACGCAGUCGAUUUCGAUCAAUAUACAAGACGAAAAAAAAACGAACAAAAUGGCGUCGUUUACCAUUUCAAUACUAAUAUGCCAUUGUUUCUUUGUGUGUUUGUUGCCUACAUUACAAGUUUGAAAGAUACAUACAUUUCCACGAGUGGAAACAAAAAUUCUGUGAAUUAAAAAGAGAGAAACACACGGGAAUGGGUGGCCGUGUUGUGGAGCCACACAGUAUCGUGCAUCAGCCACAGAACUAACGGUUAUGGACGACGACAGAUGUUGUUAUCAGUCGAGUGGGAUCGACUGAAAACCGGUUGGUUCAAAAAGAAGCCCAGAGACAAGCAAAGAGAGUUUAUACGUUUGACUUUUAGCUCCUGGGCCUUAGCCUGGACAGGAUUUGCAUAACAUUUGAAAUUUUUGGGGGGGAAACAACCAUGUCAUCUGCUGUUCUUUUUUGUUGUUGUUUUGGGCGGCCCCCCUCCGUUUAAUGCUACAGGGUUGUUGUUUUUGUUUGUUUUUUUAGUAUACGGCAAUGAUGGCAGUUAUUCCACAUGACAGGCAGAUGAUUAGGAUUAUAUAGAAUAUGACAAGGCGUGUCUAUACGGAACGAGUCGUAUAUUAUCAUCAAACAUCAUUACCCUCUCCUUUCAUUUUUGUUUUCAUUUUUCUCCGUGUUGCUGUCAAUGGAAUUAACUUGUCAGCUCGUAAAUAAUUUUAGUAAUCAUAGGCAUAAAAAAAAAGUAAGGGGGGAAAUGACUGAUGAAAAAACAGAAGGUCCCCCAGAUUAUUGAGUCACCUAAUGCAAUUUUUUUUUUUUACGAAAUGUGAAACAAAUAUUCAUCAACUCCCUUGGUCCCAAUAUGGUGAUUGUGUGGGAGUAUGUGCAAGUCGAAUCCCGUAGUCACGCAACGUGUGUGUGUGUGUGUCUGGCGCUGCACUUUACGCUGUGGAUGUCCGAGUAAUCGACCGCACGACCGCAGAUGAAUCAGACCGCCCUCGUCGUCAGCAACUCUAAAAUAAGAAAAACUUAUUACAUCUACAACAGUGGCAAGUGAAAUUUGUAUUUUAUCAGUUGCUAUACGACCAUGGGAAGAUUUCCGUGACGAAUAAUAAUAAUAAAUAGACGCGGUUGAGUGCUAUUGUCGGUGUGAAGCCGGACAACCCUCAAAGAAAAACCUGAAUACAACAAUAAGUCAUAUAAAUUUCAAAAUAAAUUUCAAAAAAAAAAUCGAUGACAAACACAACAAUGUCCGGUUCAUUCCUUGCGCUCCUGGGAAACGACCGUUCAUCUACAGUGGCUAGGAGGGGGUUCUCGCGCACUGUACCGGUGGGGCUUCACCCCCCCCUCUCCACACAAUUCCCUCAACCACUCAAACUUUGCUGGUGAAAACAAACAAAAAGUUUCAUUUAUUUUUGUUUAAAGUUGUUUUGGUCACGCUGAUGACUCAUUGCCCUCCCCCUCCCCUCUCUUUUUUGUUUUUCAUGUUCACACAACUUGCACAACACUAAAACACGGCAUCGCUCAAACGUGUCAUACGUGAAAAUAGAACGGGAAAUCGAAAGCGAAUCAACCACACAAAAAAAGACCACCCGACUUUUUUUUUUUUAACCCCCUUCAUACUCACAAAAAAUCAAAACUUUUUGACGACAUUUUGUUCACGUGUCAAAAUAGUUCAGCAGGUACGCCGUGCACGUUGGCCGUCAUCAUUUGUCCCCACGUAAUACCAGCACCGUCCUUUUUCUUUUGGCUGUUGUUUUCUUAUUUAGCCUGGUGAUGAAAACAUGUUUUUCUUCUUCUUCUUUUUGAAGCAGGUUUAUUUUGUUUGAUCCGAUUCAGAGAUCAAGUCACGGUGCCCUCAAGUGAAUUUUAACCGCAUACGUUAGAUUUUUCUCAGUAUAGAAGAACACGGGAACCGGUUGAGCUUCGGGCAAUAGGUCUCCGGCAAUAAAAACAAAAAGGGAAACACACAAAAAAAAAAAAAAAUAGUUGAUGCAUCAUAAUCUUUCCAUGUUUCCUUCAUUUUUAUUCGCCGGUUUGUAAAAGACCUUGCUAGGAACGAGGAUACGCCCGAUCAAUCAAUUUUCAACUUGAUACGAGGAAGAUAGUAAACGUGAACGUUGUGUUCUGAAAAGGGAAAGAAUGGAGCAUUAUACGAUGUAAAAAAAUAAAAGACAUUGUCUUCUUUUGUCUGACUGGGUUUCAACGAAUGGCAACACAAAAAGAAAGAGCAGCGGUCCAUUUUCUUGAUCUGCGCGCGUGUUGGGCAUCGCGUCUAGCCAACAGAUUCGCUAUGUGUGUGCAUUCAAUUGGAAGCAGACCGAAUAUCAUCAAUCGGCUCAUCUCGGCUGCUCUUUUAGCUCAUUCUCUUUUUUUUUUUCUUCAAAAAACAAAAAAUGUGGAAAAGAAAAAGAAAUAUCCAGUCUGCUCCUUCCUUUUUCUUUGACGUUCUAUUUCCACUUGGAUAUUCGGUUGACGGUGAGUCGGCAAUCAUCCGCUCGACAUCAUCUCUAACACGACGUUUUUCUUUUUGGGUUUUUGCGCUAUUUCGUCACCAUGGCAACAAGAAAAAAAAAUGAUUUUCGUUUUUCACGAAACGACAUGGAAAUUGGUCAUCGCUAACGAAGAAAAUCCAAAACAAGAUUGACCGGUUCUUUCUCGAUAAAUCAUCAGCAAAGCAAAUUUUCAGAUUACACUAUAGAAUAAAAAAGAUGGAGUUGUAAUUCGCUACACGUUCGCGAGCACACAAGAGAGCUGGCACGCUUCACCGAGCAACCAACCAAAUGUUACGAUGACGAAAAAAUGCGCGGACGCGGACCACGCAAUUUUACACACACCGGGUUACGCGGAUGAUAUUUUCAAAUGAAAGGAGAGUUUUCCUAUUGUUCCGGUCACGUUUGAUUGUCUUCUAAUAUUCUCAUUCUCUACUUGAAAUCCAACACUCCCCCCUUCUUUUCCCCACUCUACAAUACACGCCUGCGCUAGCGCGCGCAUUUGAUUAUUGUUUUAUGCCAUUUUUAUGAGAUAUUUCCUCGCGGUUGUUUGUUUGGAGGUCAUUUCUUUCCCGUUUGUUGUUAAAACUUUGAGGAAUAAAUAAAAAAUAAAAAAGCGGUCGGUACUCCAUUACGUCAGUCGAGCAGCCCCGUCCAGGCAUCCUUAAUGAUUCUUAUACAUAGAUGCCUACAUAGUUAUUUUCAUCCGGCCCAGCUGCAACAGCAAAAUCCUUUUCCUCCUUUUAGCUGCCUAAAGAAAAAGAAAAAAAGAAUUUAUUAUUAUUUUUUAAAGAAUCGAGUCGGGAAAAAGUGAAGUGUGUACGUUCUCUCCUUUACAUCUCGGCUGGCCUCUUUUUGGUCUUUAAAACAAUGCCGAAAUCCGAGUUGGAUCGUCCAAACAAUUCGGCGAAUGUGUUCGGGUUAAGGUCUCCUUUUCUGUUUGAUGUGAGCACAAGCAAAACAAAGGCAAGCGCUUCCACAUAUUUGUUUAUUUAGCCGUGAAGUUGCGUACUGAGUUUGGGUCCUGACGGUGGGGGAUCGAAUUACCUGGGUGGUGCAAGGAUACGCUUGACGGCUGCCUCGUCCGCUUUCCCAAGUGCAGGGUUUGAUCCCAAUGUUCGCACACUAUAUCAUCAUCAGCAUCGAGAACGUGUCAAAUGUGCCUUAACAAGGAAUCCAAAGCCGAUGACAAAAGAGGACGUGACUCAAAUAACUUGGAAUUUGAUCAAUCUACCGACAAAUAUGGCGCCCAUCUACGCCGCAGUUGUUGAAUCCCUACAGUGGGAAAGAGGCGGUCAAAAGCCGAUCCGGUUAACAGGCCACCCAACGUAUUUUGGAUUCCAUUUCUCGUUCUCCUAAAUUCCUGUUUAUUCAAAAGGCAACUGGAUUUAAAAAUAAAAAAAAAUAAAAAAUAGUACAUUUAGAAAAUAA